UGUGGUUUAUCGGGGGCAGUAAGACUUCUGGAGAUGAAGCUAGCUUGUUUGGGGGUAGUUGGCGUUGAAGUUCAGAUCCUUUUUAGUGUAACCUGCACCUCCUUGAAAAUGGGGGAAAUGUUAAAACUCCCAGAAGUAAUAAGCUAUUUAGUGAUAUUUUACCUUAUUGGGAUCUCCCCUAAUGAUCUAGAUCCCCUGAGAAGGGUUUUAUUUGUCAGAGGUAGGGGGAUCAUUUUAAAUAUUAGUGUCUGAGGUAGCCUUAUGUCUGUGCCGCUCUAAUGUGGGGGGUGACAGACUGGGGGGGGUGUCCCUUAUUUAUCGUGUAAGAUUCUAUUGUCGUAUGUAGUGGUGUUUCUUUAAACUGAAGUGCACUUAUUUGUAUUUGGAAUUUAUCGCGUGUGUGGCGUUCUGCCCAAUGCCGUUACUACCCCCCAGCUCGAUUGUGCGCUGUACGGUGGAAUCUUUGAAUGUAAAGGAAGUAAAAGGAAUUGAUUCGUUUUAUCCGCUUAUCGGCUGUAAUGACUUGCCUUAAGUUACAAAAUUAUUAUACUAUAUUUCCCAUAGUAUCCUUUUUUUCUCGGGGAUUCAGAUAAUAAAGUAAAACAAAGUAGAUAUUUAAGACUUAAACUUCUAGGCCUACGUAAAAACUUAAUAACCAACCGUAAGCUGCAUUUCAAUGCGACAACUGGCGGUUCGUACCGCUAGCGCUGUACUAAUUAUAUCAAGGAUCCGCUCUGAACUCGCUUAGACUUUCCGGCGGCGUCGCCUCUAUCGUUAUAACUGAAUGAAUUCAGGAUGAAAUCAUCUUAUCGGAUUUUUAUUUUCUUACCAGGGCUGCCGUUUGUACUGGCGUUGAAGAUCAAUGAAGUGCGGGGAUAUGUAGGAGGAGAAGUGGACAUCGACUGUCCGUAUCCGUCUGAUUACAUAUAUGUUGCGAAGUACUGGUGUCGCCGUCCCUGUGAAAAUGUAAAAGAUGUUCUUAUUAAAUCUGAGAAGUCGGACAUCGUCAUUUCCAAAGGAAGAUUUUUCUCUGUACAACAAUCCUAGCGGACGGUCAUUCAGGGUCACCAUAAAAAAGCUGACUCUGAAGGAUGCUGGGAUUUACUACUGUGGAAUAGAAAAAUGGUGGAAAGACAAAUACACAGAAGUUCAUGUCAGUGUCAGUAACGCUUCUCCAGCUUCUACUGUUCCCCAAACUGACCCAACAACGAGGCUGUUAACUCUGCUGGACCGAUCCAUGCUGGCCACACAGCGCCAUGUCACACAGCUCUCCACAGAUCCUACUGCUACCAUCGUGAUUAACCUACAGAACAGUACUGUGGAGAAAGCCAACCAUUCCACAGGCCAUCUGUCCAUGGGUUCCGGAGGCAGAGUUUAGCUGAGCUAGAAGAACUGCACUGUUACUGAGAGCUGUUGAUAUAAAAUAGCAUUGAGGCUGAAGUAACUGCCCCUGUGUUAAUGACAGAAUGCACACUUGGCAGUGGCAGAAUUUAGCUUGGAUCAACCUUUGGGCUGCUGAUGUUCUUCCUGCUGGUGUUACUGACUUAUCUUUCAAAACGAUUAAUGUCAAAGUCACAAGAAUCAAAUCCUUUGGAUUUAGCUGUCCCUGUUCAUAAUGUAGAGGAUGGAGCGGACCUUGGCCACGUGUAUGAAGAAGUUGCAUUGCAUGACCCUGCUGAUCUUCCCCAGAAGGAUUCUCCUGAAAUCUUCCACAUGCUUUUAUUCGCCAGUUCUCACCUAGAAAUGACUGAAAACCCCCUCUACUCUCUGGCCGAUUCCUGACUGGCUGCAGCAAAUUAACCAUUUUCAGGCCGCAUGUGUGAGCUGCUGAAUAUGUGUAGUAUUCUGUCUGCUCUGUGUGCCUUGGGGUAGCGUGUGCAUGUGUACACACAACCACUAGAGGGCACUCUAUCCUAAAAUCAUAAACCUGGCAGAAAACUGGUUUGACCAAUCCAGUUAUCUUUCAUAACUUGAUGUUUGAUACCCUGAAUAAACACUUUAUUUUAGAUGUUGUCUGCAGGCCAAAGAACAUUGCUAUGCAUCGUAUGUUGGGAUCGCUAGAGAUUCUUCCACUGAGGAUUUUAUUUAGAAUUUCCUCACAGUGAAAAUGAUUUAGCUACAGUAUUAUGUAUGGUUCUUAAAUAUGUACUUGUAUUAUUAUGCAUGCUAAAGCCUUUGGAUGUUUUUAAGGACCAUUCUGAUAAUUGUAAUGUCCUCUCUGCCUCUUUCACUGACUGUAAAAACAUGUCACCUUCUCUCCAUUUAUUCUUGGAGUAAAGGAGGCUGGUGUCAGAUGCAUGUUGUCCAAUUUCAUUCUUUAAAGGACACUGGUUUGGUAUAUUUCCUUAGUCGCUGUCUUUGGUGGCAUCUC